rnacentral:tRNA from 1 species
GAAGCUAUAGCUCAGUGGUAGAGUGUGUGCUUAGCAUGCAUAGGUCUUGGGUUCAAUUCCAAGUACCUCCA